rnacentral:rRNA from 1 species
UGGGGAAUUUUGGACAAUGGGGGAAACCCUGAUCCAGCCAUCCCGCGUGUGCGAUGAGGGCCUUCGGGUUGUAAAGCACUUUUGGCAGGAAAGAAACGUCAUGGGUUAAUACCCCGUGAAACUGACGGUACCUGCAGAAUAAGCACCGGCUAACUACGUGCCAGCAGCCGCGGUAAUACGUAGGGUGCAAGCGUUAAUCGGAAUUACUGGGCGUAAAGCGUGCGCAGGCGGUUCGGAAAGAAAGAUGUGAAAUCCCAGAGCUCAACUUUGGAACUGCAUUUUUAACUACCGGGCUAGAGUGUGUCAGAGGGAGGUGGAAUUCCGCGUGUAGCAGUGAGAUGCGUAGAUAUGCGGAGGAACACCGAUGGCGAAGGCAGCCUCCUGGGAUAACACUGACGCUCAUGCACGAAAGCGUGGGGAGCAAACAGG